rnacentral:rRNA from 1 species
CCUACGGGGGGCUGCAGUGGGGAAUAUUGCACAAUGGGCGCAAGCCUGAUGCAGCCAUGCCGCGUGUGUGAAGAGGGCCUUCGGGUUGUAAAGCACUUUCAGCGGGGAGGAAGGCGUUAAGGUUAAUAACCUUGGCGAUUGACGUUACCCGCAGAAGAAGCACCGGCUAACUCCGUGCCAGCAGCCGCGGUAAUACGGAGGGUGCAAGCGUUAAUCGGAAUUACUGGGCGUAAAGCGCACGCAGGCGGUCUGUCAAGUCGGAUGUGAAAUCCCCGGGCUCAACCUGGGAACUGCAUUCGAAACUGGCAGGCUAGAGUCUUGUAGAGGGGGGUAGAAUUCCAGGUGUAGCGGUGAAAUGCGUAGAGAUCUGGAGGAAUACCGGUGGCGAAGGCGGCCCCCUGGACAAAGACUGACGCUCAGGUGCGAAAGCGUGGGGAGCAAACAGGAUUAGAUACCCUAGUAGUC